UGUCCGAAACAUGUGUGCUGGUACCUAACUGUCAAAUCGUAUGUAUUUUUCCUUCAUUGACAUUGAGAUCCCCUAUUUUCGCCAGCAAAAGAUGUUCCGGACAGCGACGACAGCGACAAUGUUUAUCUUGUAACUAAAAUAUCUUUUGGCCCGCCCGAUAUUUACGUGGUGGAUUUAAACUAUACGCCACGUCCAAGCAAGUACGGUAGUAAAUCUCCUUCUUAAAUGAAAUCGCUCAUUAAGUACUUUCGUUAUGACGGCGUUUUUAUUUCUGUACUCGCAUCUUUUUAACACCAUGUCCACGCCGCGGAGUUCAAGGACGCUACGACGGCCUUAGCCGUUAUAACACGUCGACAAUAAUUCCCUUUUCCAACUAGGUCUUACUACCAUGACACAAGUUCUUUUAUUAACUGCGAUCAAUUUUAUAAACCAUCUGCCUUGAGCAUGAACACGUCCUGUAGCCGCAUAUCUUAUCGUUAACAGAAGGCACAGAACCAUUUGAUGUUUGUCAUAUUUGUUUUCAACAAAUUGGCAUUAUCAAAUGUUUGGCUUGGUUUUAAUGUAAAUAACCAUGGGAUGAAUUCCAAAUCGUCGAAUGUCAAAAAUCGGAGGAAUACCAGGAGGUACCAGGAAUACUGGCGAUUGCGAGUGAGAUCUUUGAGAUAAUGCGAUUUGACAUGAAGUUCACCUCAUAGUUCACAAUUAAAGGAUCUGAUGUAGCUGAUCCUUUCUGCGGCAUAUCAAAGCUCCCAGACACUUGGAAGAUCUGGAGAAGCAUUAUAGUGGAGGAUAUGUACUGUAUACAUUAUGUAAAAUGCUGCCUAAUAGGUUUCUUCUAUUUAGAUCGGCAGUUAUUGGAUUCCCUGUUGCCUUAGAACUCAGGCUGUAAAAUUUAAUGGAAAAAUGAAUUGUAUCUAAAUAAUCCCGAAUAUCCCUUAAUAUUAAAUAAAUAUAUACGAAUAAAAAAAUCAACAUUGACAUGUUUUAAAAAGCAAUG